GCCUCGUUAGCGCAGUAGCAAGCGCGUCAGUCUCAUAAUCAAAUCUAGAAAUCUGAAUGUCGUGAGUUCGAUCCUUACACGGGGCA
rfam:Nematostella vectensis strain CH2 x CH6 NEMVEscaffold_634_Cont31141, whole genome shotgun sequence.